UUAGAAUAUGAGAAACUAAGUUAUAUGUUUAGUUAUAUUUUUACUGAUUUUUAUAGAGUAAAGAUAGAAAUAAAACUUAGUAAAAUCAGUAAAAAUAUUCUUAGACUAAAGUUAAGUAGUUUAAGUUGUGUGCAAGUGGUAGGAGAGCGUUCUAUUUGCGUCGAAGGUAUACCGGUAAGGAGUGCUGGAGCGAAUAGAAGUGAGCAUGCAGGCAUGAGUAGCGAUAAUUAAUGUGAGAAUCAUUAACGCCGUAAACCCAAGGUUUCCUACGCGAUGCUCGUCAUCGUAGGGUUAGUCGGGUCCUAAGUCGAGUCCGAAAGGGGUAGACGAUGGCAAAUUGGUUAAUAUUCCAAUACCAACAUUAGUGUGCGAUGGAAGGACGCUUAGGGCUAAGGGGGCUAGCGGAUGGAAGUGCUAGUCUAAGGUCGUAGGAGGUUAUACAGGCAAAUCCGUAUAACAAUACUCCGAGAACUGAAAGGCUUUUUGAAGUCUUCGGAUGGAUAGAAGAACCCCUGAUGCCGUCGAGCC
rnacentral:rRNA from 1 species